rnacentral:misc_RNA from 1 species
GAUGAAGAACGUAGCGAAAUGCGAUGAGUAGUGUGAAUUGCAGAAUUCCGUGAAUCAUCGAAUCUUUGAACGCACAUUGCGCCUUCUGGUAUUCCGGAAGGCAUGCCUGUUCGAGAGUCAUUAACAACCGUUUCGAUCCCUUUCUUUCAGAAAUUACAAAGAGGAAAAGGGUUUGGUUAUGGUGGAGGAGGGAAAGGGAGCGUUUAGCCUGUAAAAAAAGAGGCUGUGUUCCGCCUCCCCCCCAAAAUUGUACAGGCGGUCGUGUGCGCCCACGCAUCGAGGUGUUGUAAAAGCUGCCACGGCACUUUUCACCUGUGCAGUGCGAGAUUGGCCAGCCGGUUUAAAAACCCCUCCAAACAAUCAAAGGUUGACCUCGGAUCAGGUAGGGAUACCCGCUGAACUUAAGCAUAUCAAUAAGCGGAGGA